ACAAUAACUAAAGCAUAGAAGGAAGGCUAAAAUAAGAAUUCAGAAACUAUAAACCGGCUCUCUUCUAGCUUACGACACAAACUAUGAGUGAGAAAAGGACAAAUGAUUCGCUCUUUGCUUCAUUUUUUCCGAGGUUGUCACAACAUGAAAUGUCAUUUGGACCUAUUGGACUCAUUUUAAUUCGGCCAAAUACAUAGUAACAUACAUAAGAAGAUUUUACUUAUAUUUACCGAACUAUUUGACACGGUCGCGUGAACUUUGUUUACGAGUGUCUUGUGUUCAGAUUGUUUUAAGUGAUAAUUUAACAAUAUUUUUCCAAAUAAAUGGAAAGAAACUUUUAUUUAUAUCAAAUAAUUGAGUGUCUCGACUCUGUGACAUUAUGUCUUGUGUGGUAUGGGGCUGCAGCUCACAUUCAGGAAGAAAAGAAAAUAGCCAACAACUUCUGUCGUUUCAUCGAUAUUAAAUCCAAAAGUGUCGACUGGAUUUACAUGAAAAGUCAGUUCAAGAAGACGAGAUGAAAAAUUUAAAAGAAAAGCUGAACAAGUCACGCCUCAAGAUCAAACGACUUAAUGAAAAAAAAAAUCAAUGUGACAGGGUGUCACAAAGACAGUUUCUAAACAAAUUGACACUGUUUAGAAAUUAAUAAAUUUGUAUUUAUUGUAAAUAUAAUGUACAUAAUUAAUAACGUGUAAAAUAAAUACUUGCUAAUGAACAGA
rnacentral:lncRNA from 1 species